rnacentral:rRNA from 1 species
GAUUACCCGGCGAACUUAAGCAUAUCACUAAGCGGAGGAAAAGAAACUAACCAGGAUUCCCCUAGUAACGGCGAGUGAAGAGGGAAUAGCCCAGCACCGAAGCCUGCGGUAGGUUUACUGCUAGGCAAUGUGGUGUUUGGGUCGACUCGCGGGAUUGCCACUCCACUCGAAGUCCAGCACUGAGUAUGGUUCCCUGGAUUUGGCCCAGAGAGGGUGAAAGGCCCGUGCGAGUGGAGGUUCAGACAUGUGAGGCAAUUCACCAGGUCGACCUUCGAGUCGGGGUGUUUGGGAAAUGCAGC